rnacentral:rRNA from 1 species
UGGGGAAUAUUGGGCAAUGGGCGCAAGCCUGACCCAGCCAUGCCGCGGGAGUGACGAAGGCCUUAGGGUUGUAAAGCUCUUUUGGCGGGGACGAUAAUGACGGUACCCGCAGAAUAAGCCCCGGCUAACUUCGUGCCAGCAGCCGCGGUAAUACGAAGGGGGCUAGCGUUGUUCGGAAUCACUGGGCGUAAAGCGCACGUAGGCGGACUUUCAAGUCAGGGGUGAAAUCCCGGGGCUCAACCUCGGAACUGCCUUUGAUACUGUUGGUCUCGGGUCCGGAAGAGGUGGGUGGAAUUCCUAGUGUUGCGGUGACAGUCGUAGAUAUUAGGACGAACACCGGUGGCGAAGGCGGCCCACGGGUCCGGUACUGACGCUGAGGUGCGAAAGCGUGGGGAGCAAACA